UAUGUUUUAGUGUAAAGGCACGCAAAGUUUUGAUCUUUGAGGGGAUGGUGUGAUUCCAUUAAAUAUAA
rnacentral:tRNA from 1 species